AGAAUGAUGACUCAUACAGUUGUUGCAGCAAUUAAGAGAUUAAGAGGGAUGUUUCAUUGUUAUAAUGGAAAGGGGAUAGAGAAUUAAAGAGCUCUGCUUACUGUCAUGAUGGAUUAUAUGCACGCAGCAGAAGAGGAAAGAAGUACCGCUGACAGGAAGACCUAGGGUCUUUUUUAGCCAGAGGUCUCUAUAGACAUGCCAUCAAUAGUAAUGGCAACCGCAGUGUAUCAUCGUGACGAUGUGCUUAAUCAGGGCUCAGGUGUUGAGGAUGUAGACUUGGGAGAGCCCCUUGUUGGUGUGCUUAAGGCAUCCUGGUUUCAGUCAGGUCAGGUCCCCUCACCUAAUACUGGCCUGAGGCCCAAGACCAAGAUACAAGGACUGAGGCUGAAUGGUGGAUAAAGAUUGCGAAUUUGCACAGCUAUAAAGCUUACUAAUUAAAGACUACAAACACAAAGAGAGCAAGCCUUGUGAUGACUGCACAAUAACGAGGAUUCAGAUACAACGUGGUCGCCACCUGACGCCCACCUCCACAAAAAGCCAUUCUCAAAAGGAGAGAGACAUUCAUAUCCAGAAGAGGGAGUCGGCUGUAGGGUAGAGCACUUCAAAUGCAUCAAAGGUCCAGAGAGAAGCUUCUUCUGGUCACCUUGAUCUUGUGAUGCAAGGCAGGUGGGAGCAAGGGCUCCACCUCUGCAGACACAGAGAUGACGGGGUCGCCAUGCCGGCGUUUUAGUCCCGGUUUCCUCUGCUCGAGUAGUUGGUGGCCUCCUGCCUGUUCCCUAACAUAACUUCACUUUCCUUACCUGCAAAACGAAAUUAGUAUUUCCUCCCUCACAAGGUGCUUGAUGCCCUUCCCCUUGCGUUUACUUUGCCUGAGAGACUAUAUCAUAUCUAUGAUUUUGUGAAUGGGGCAAAAGGAAUUGAGAGUGUCAGGGUAUACCUUAUAAAUAAGCCACUAAAGGUUACAUCCUCAUUCCACAAACUGACCUAAACAAUUUGGCUGUCACUAAUAGAUUAUUUUGGUCAGUUAUGGCAUUUAGAGGGAGAAGAGAGAGUAUAUAUAUAUGGGUGGGGUGUGUGUGUAUGCGUGUGUAUGUGUGUGUUUACAGUCAAAAUACCAAAAUAUAUCUAUGUAUAUAAAUAUAUUUGCUUUCUUUGUUUUUGUUACAAUAAACUUGUACAUACAAUUCUGACACACAUAUUUUCAUAUGUAGGCACAAAAAUAGUCAUACAAAAAAUACCACAAAAGGUAAUAACAAAGUGGAAGAAGACAUAGGAACAGAGAACAAACCAACACAUAGAAAAAGUAACAAACAUGGUAGAUACGAAUCCAGCUAUAUCAAUAAUCGCGUUAAACAUCAAUGGUCUUAAAUAUACUAGACAGUGGAAUAUUAUUCAGCAUUGAAAAGAAAUGACCUAUCAAGCCAUGAAAGACAAGGAGGAACCUUAAAUGCAUGUUACUGAGUGAAAGAAGCCAAUCUGAAAAGGCUGCAUCCUGCAGGAUUCUGACUCUAUGACAUUCUGGAAAAGGUAAAACUACUAAGACAGUGAAAAGAUCAGUAGCUGCCAGGGGUUACGGGAAGGGGAUGAUGAAUAAGUGGGGCACAGCAUUUUGAGGAGGUGAAACUACUCUGUAGGAUACUGUAACAGUAAAUCCAUGUCAUUAUAUGUUUGUACACACCCAUAGAACACCAGGAGGACAGCACCAAGAGGGAGCCCUAGUGUGAACUGUGGACUCUGGUUGGUAAUGAUGUGCCUGUGAAGCUUCAUUGUUUGCAGCAAAUGCAUCAGUGUGGUGGGGGAUGUUUCUAAAUUGAUAAUGAAGGACGCCAUAGGUGUAUGGGGGCAGAGAGUUUAUGAGAAAUCUGUACCUUUUGCUCAAUUUUACUGAACAUAAAACUGCUGAAGCCAUCAUUCUCAGCAAACUAACCCAGGAGCAGAAAACCAAACGCCGCAUGUUCUCACUCAUAAGUGGGAGUUGAACAAUGAGAACACAUGGACACAGGGAGGGGAACAUCGUCACACACCGGAGCCUGUCGCAGGGUGGGGAGCUGGGGGAGGGAGAGCAUUAAGACAAAUACCUAAUGCAUGUGGGGCUUAAAACCUAGAUGAUAGGUUGAUAGGUGCAGCAAACCACCAUGGCACAUGUAUACCUAUGUAACAAACCUGCACAUUCUGCACAUGUAUCCCAGAACUUAAAGUAAAAUAUAUUAAAAAAAUUAAAGUCUAUUUUAAAAAAAGAAAAACAAUCAGCUAACCUACUUUGGUAGCUCUGUUCUGCGCUGUCGGGUCUUCCAUCCUAGCGUGUGACACAGGAGGGUUUCGCUGGCAGGACCCGCCCACUGCACAUGCAGGUUCAGGUGACAGAGACCUCUGGAAAGAUGAGGCCCGUGGGAGCAGGGGGCUUCUUGUUGACACUGAAGGUCAGGCUUCAGGAAUGCCAGGGGCUCAUAAAAUCUUUUUCACUGAACAUUAUGCUGAGCAGGAUUCAUUUUACCAGUGAAAAAAUAUUUCUGACAUCCUUUGUGCUUUUUAACAAAGCCUGUGGUGUGGAUUUGCAUGAUUCUUAGAUUGCUGAGUAACCACUUCGGGAGGGUUCUUGAUUAGGGCACUAAAAAUGUUAACACAACACCCGUGGGAUGUAGAUUAAGGUCAACUUGUCCUUGUGCGUCUCUCCUAGUGUUGAUGGCAGAGUCUUAGUAUUUCAGCUGACGAAAUCUCUGCCCAUUCUCUUCCAAUGUUCCCUAAUAAGCUACAGGAGGACAGAGACAAAAGUUUGACUUCAUUAGUAACUUUUGGAAGUUGCCCAAUUUAGGAAAAAGAGUUAAUAAAUCAGGAAUUUUAUAAGAACUUUUUGUUAAAUCUGUAGUUAUUCAAAUCAGCCUCAGCAUGAUAAGACAACACUACAGGUUAUUAUAAAUAGUUGAAAAAGAAAAAUUAAAUUCCAACCAAACAAUUGAUCCUUAACUUUUUUUUUUUUUGAGA
rnacentral:lncRNA from 1 species